CAACCCCCAGCAGUUCAGCCCAUUCUUGUUUAAACGGUUCCACCGUCGCCCUUUACCACAUUUUCAUUUCAUUCUCGUUCCACAUUCACUGGCUUUUCCAUUCUCCAAAUAUGGAAUCCGAAUCACGUCAACAUGAUCACUCCCCCAAAACCCCACCCGCCUCCACGAGCACCACCGCCUCAACAACCACAUCCUGCUGUGCCAAAUGCGGCGGCCCUACCACUUUCGCGCCACCACCACCGUACUCCGACAUCUCCCCACCUCCCACGUACCGUCCUAUCCGUGCGCCAGCCGUUAACCUCCCUCCAAACAAUCACUCUCAAGCCAUAAUUCUUGCUCCCGUUCCCCAAUCUCAAAAAGUUCCCACAAUUUCCCUUCCUUAUAAAUUCCAAAUUCCUUGCAAACGAAUCCAAACCCCCGAUGACAUCAACCACUUCAUUGAGUCCGAUUCCGGAAAGAAUUUCCUCGGCUUCGUCGUCGCUCUCUCCGAGUCCAUUCGUGGACACAAAAUCUCCGAUCAGUAUCACGAGUCUCAAACAAUCCGCACCCUUUUAUCAAUUAUUGACGAGUUAAUUCAAUGGAUCGACAUGAUUCCUCCGGCUGAGCAGUCAUCUCGUUACGGCAACGUCUCUUACCGAACUUGGCAUAGCCAAUUAACUGAAAACAGUGAUACCAUAAUGCUCCGUUUUUUGCCUGACGAACUUCAAGCUGCCACGGUCGAAAUUGUUCCGUAUUUUAAUGACAGUUUCGGUAAUUCGAGUCGUAUUGAUUACGGAACUGGUCAUGAAACUAAUUUCGCUGCUUGGUUAUAUUGCUUAGCUAGAUUAGGAGUAAUUAAGGAAGAGGAUUAUCAAGCUGUUGUGUCUAGGGUUUUUGUUAAGUACUUGGAGUUAAUGAGGAAAUUGCAAUUAGUGUAUUCUUUGGAGCCUGCAGGAUCGCAUGGAGUUUGGGGGUUGGAUGAUUAUCAUUUCUUGCCAUUUAUAUUUGGCUCCUCGCAGUUGAUUGAUCAUAAGUAUAUGAAGCCAAAGUCAAUUCAUAAUCAGGAUAUUUUGGAAAAUUUUUCCAAUGAAUAUAUGUAUCUUUCGUGUAUUGCUUUUGUGAAGAAGGUGAAGAAGGGUUUAUUUGCCGAGCACUCGCCUUUGUUGGAUGAUAUCAGUGGUGUGCCUAAUUGGAAUAAGGUUAAUAGUGGGUUGCUGAAAAUGUAUAAGGCAGAGGUGCUCGGAAAGGUUCCUAUUAUGCAGCAUUUUCUGUUCGGAUGGCUCAUUAGAUGGUUGUUUAAGAAUAGCUGGAGCGCUGUUUGGACUAGCUCUUUCAUACAAUCCAUAAAGAUUAUGCAGUACAUUCAUUUGGCUUAAAGCUACGUUUCAGUUUAGAUAAUUGAAUUGUAGAGUCUAAAUUGGGCUUGUGAGAUAAGAAUGUCGGAAUGACUGCAAAACAGGAAUGGGAGUAGUUUGAUGAUCAGCAUCAUUGGAAUGUAUGCAGUGGAAUUGAGAGAGUUAUUUUCCAGAAGCUGACUGAAAGCCACUAUAUCUGUGUUUGAAGCUUGUUAAAACAAACAAAUGAACUUGUGGAUCUUUUGGAAGAAUAGACAAGUCAGCAGCUGGAAGUUUGUACCUUUGUAUGUGCUAUUUCUUUUUCCGUUUCAGAAACUAAAGUAAUUAAUUGUAGCUCCUAUGCAAACAGUGGGUUGUCCAAGGAAGCUUUGCUGGCUUCCUUGGCCGCCAUGGUUAUGACAUGAGAAAUAGCGUAUUUGUGUAGUGUUUAGAAGCAGCUAGUUGUCUCUGUUGAAUUGUUGAGAAAAGAUGCAAAAUGUGCGUGUAACUUGCAGGAUUUCAUUUGCUUUGGCACAGUGGAGUACGCUUUGGAUGCAUUUGAUUCAAGGUGAUAAAAUAUUGUUUUGAUCAUUUAUCUUUUAUUAAUAACAUUAUUUGGUUUGAUAUUUAGAGAAAUUUUAACCA